rnacentral:rRNA from 1 species
AUUGAACGCUGGCGGCAGGCCUAACACAUGCAAGUCGAACGAGUGGCGGACGGGUGAGUAAUGUCUGGGAAACUGCCCGAUGGAGGGGGAUAACUACUGGAAAAGGUAGCUAAUACCCCGUACCAUCGGAUGUGCCCAGAUGGGGGUAGAUUGUUGGUGAGGUAACUGCGCACAUAGGCGACGAGUCCUAGAUGGUCUGAGAGGAUGACCAGCCACAUUGGAACUGAGACACUGUCCAGACUCCUACGGGAGGCAGCAGUGGGUAAUAUUGCACAAUGGGCGCAAGCCUGAUGCAGCCAUGCCGCGUGUAUGAAGAAGGCCGUCGGGUUGUAAAGUACUUUCAGCGGGGAGGCGUUACCCGCAGAAGAAGCACCGGCUAACUCCGUGCCAGCAGCCGCGGUAAUAC